rnacentral:rRNA from 1 species
GAAACCCGGUGAUCUAGCCAUGGGCAGGUUGAAGGUUGGGUAACACUAACUGGAGGACCGAACCGACUAAUGUUGAAAAAUUAGCGGAUGACUUGUGGCUGGGGGUGAAAGGCCAAUCAAACCGGGAGAUAGCUGGUUCUCCCCGAAAGCUAUUUAGGUAGCGCCUCGUGAAUUCAUCUCCGGGGGUAGAGCACUGUUUCGGCAAGGGGGUCAUCCCGACUUACCAACCCGAUGCAAACUGCGAAUACCGGAGAAUGUUAUCACGGGAGACACACGGCGGGUGCUAACGUCCGUCGUGAAGAGGGAAACAACCCAGACCGCCAGCUAAGGUCCCAAAGUCAUGGUUAAGUGGGAAACGAUGUGGGAAGGCCCAGACAGCCAGGAUGUUGGCUUAGAAGCAGCCAUCAUUUAAAGAAAGCGUAAUAGCUCACUGGUCGAGUCGGCCUGCGCGGAAGAUGUAACGGGGCUAAACCAUGCACCGAAGCUGCGGCAGCGACACUAUGUGUUGUUGGGUAGGGGAGCGUUCUGUAAGCCUGUGAAGGUGGCCUGUGAGGGUUGCUGGAGGUAUCAGAAGUGCGAAUGCUGACAUAAGUAACGAUAAAGCGGGUGAAAAGCCCGCUCGCCGGAAGACCAAGGGUUCCUGUCCAACGUU